UACGUAGGGAGCAAGCGUUGUCCGGAAUCAUUGGGCGUAAAGCGCGCGUAGGUGGCUUCGUAAGUCCGUUGUGAAAGUCAAAGGCUCAACCUUUGAAAGCCGAUGGAUACUGUGAAGCUAGAGUACGGAAGAGGCGAGUGGAAUUCCAAGUGUAGCGGUGAAAUGCGUAGAGAUUUGGAGGAACACCAGUGGCGAAGGCGACUUUCUGGUCUGUAACUGACACUGAGGCGCGAAAGCGUGGGGAGCGAACAGG
rnacentral:rRNA from 1 species